rnacentral:rRNA from 1 species
GUAACGCGUGAGUAACCUGCCUUUCANAGGGGGAUAACGUUCUGAAAAGAAACGCUAAUACCGCAUGAGACUACAGAGCUGCAUGGCUCAGUGGUCAAAGGAGCAAUCCGCUGAAAGAUGGACUCGCGUCCGAUUAGAUAGUAGGCGGGGUAACGGCCCACCUAGUCGACGAUCGGUAGCCGGACUGAGAGGUUGAACGGCCACAUUGGGACUGAGACACGGCCCAGACUCCUACGGGAGGCAGCAUG